UACGGGGGGAGCAAGCGUUGUUCGGAUUUACUGGGCGUAAAGGGCGCGUAGGCGGUCGUGACAAGUCACUUGUGAAAUCUCCGGGCUUAACUCGGAACGGUCAAGUGAUACUGUCGGACUAGAGUACAGAAGGGGCAACUGGAAUUCUCGGUGUAGCGGUGAAAUGCAUAGAUAUCGAGAGGAACACCUGCGGCGAAGGCGGGUUGCUGGGCUGAUACUGACGCUGAGGAGCGAAAGCGUGGGGAGCGAACAGG
rnacentral:rRNA from 1 species